rnacentral:rRNA from 1 species
AUGCAAGUCGAACGAGAGAAUUGCUAGCUUGCUAAUAAUUCUCUAGUGGCGCACGGGUGAGUAACACGUGAGUAACCUGCCCCCGAGAGCGGGAUAGCCCUGGGAAACUGGGAUUAAUACCGCAUAGUAUCGAAAGAUUAAAGCAGCAAUGCGCUUGGGGAUGGGCUCGCGGCCUAUUAGUUAGUUGGUGAGGUAACGGCUCACCAAGGCGAUGACGGGUAGCCGGUCUGAGAGGAUGUCCGGCCACACUGGAACUGAGACACGGUCCAGACACCUACGGGUGGCAGCAGUCGAGAAUCAUUCACAAUGGGGGAAACCCUGAUGGUGCGACGCCGCGUGGGGGAAUGAAGGUCUUCGGAUUGUAAACCCCUGUCAUGUGGGAGCAAAUUAAAAAGAUAGUACCACAAGAGGAAGAGACGGCUAACUCUGUGCCAGCAGCCGCGGUAAUACAGAGGUCUCAAGCGUUGUUCGGAAUCACUGGGCGUAAAGCGUGCGUAGGCUGUUUCGUAAGUCGUGUGUGAAAGGCGCGGGCUCAACCCGCGGACGGCACAUGAUACUGCGAGACUAGAGUAAUGGAGGGGGAACCGGAAUUCUCGGUGUAGCAGUGAAAUGCGUAGAUAUCGAGAGGAACACUCGUGGCGAAGGCGGGUUCCUGGACAUUAACUGACGCUGAGGCACGAAGGCCAGGGGAGCGAAAGGGAUUAGAUACCCCUGUAGUCCUGGCAGUAAACGGUGCACGCUUGGUGUGCGGGGAAUCGACCCCCUGCGUGCCGGAGCUAACGCGUUAAGCGUGCCGCCUGGGGAGUACGGUCGCAAGAUUAAAACUCAAAGAAAUUGACGGGGACCCGCACAAGCGGUGGAGUAUGUGGCUUAAUUCGAUGCAACGCGAAGAACCUUACCUGGGCUUGACAUGUAAUGAACAACAUGUGAAAGCAUGCGACUCUUCGGAGGCGUUACACAGGUGCUGCAUGGCCGUCGUCAGCUCGUGUCGUGAGAUGUUUGGUUAAGUCCAGCAACGAGCGCAACCCCUGUUGCCAGUUACCAGCACGUGAAGGUGGGGACUCUGGCGAGACUGCCCAGAUCAACUGGGAGGAAGGUGGGGACGACGUCAGGUCAGUAUGGCCCUUAUGCCCAGGGCUGCACACGUACUACAAUGCCCAGUACAGAGGGGGCCGAAGCCGCGAGGCGGAGGAAAUCCUAAAAACUGGGCCCAGUUCGGACUGUAGGCUGCAACCCGCCUACACGAAGCCGGAAUCGCUAGUAAUGGCGCAUCAGCUACGGCGCCGUGAAUACGUUCCCGGGUCUUGUACACACCGCCCGUCACAUCAUGGAAGCCGGUCGCACCCGAAGUAUCUGAAGCCAACCGCAAGGAGGCAGG